rnacentral:rRNA from 1 species
AUUGAACGCUGGCGGCAGGCCUAACACAUGCAAGUCGAGCGAGCGGCGGACGGGUGAGUAAUGUAUGGGGACUGCCCGAUAGAGGGGGAUAACUAUUGGAAACGAUAGCUAAUACCGCAUACUGUGAGAUGACCUGCGUUGUAUUAGCUAGUAGGUGAGGUAAUGGCUCACCUAGGCGACGAUCCCUAGCUGGUCUGAGAGGAUGAUCAGCCACACUGGGACUGAGACACGGCCCAGACUCCUACGGAGGCAGCAGUGGGGAAUAUUGCACAAUGGGCGCAAGCCUGAUGCAGCCAUGCCGCGUGUAUGAAGAAGGCCCUAGGGUUGUAAAGUACUUUCAGUCGGGAGGCGUUACCGACAGAAGAAGCACCGGCUAACUCCGUGCCAGCAGCCGCGGUAAUUC